rnacentral:rRNA from 1 species
CCUACGGGUGGCAGCAGUGGGGGAUAUUGGACAAUGGGGGGAACCCUGAUCCAGCGACGCCGCGUGAGUGAAGAAGUAUUUCGGUAUGUAAAGCUCUGUCAGCAGGGAAGAAAGCAAUGACGGUACCUGACCAAGAAGCCCCGGCUAACUACGUGCCAGCAGCCGCGGUAAUACGUAGGGGGCAAGCGUUAUCCGGAAUUACUGGGUGUAAAGGGAGCGUAGACGGCUGUGCAAGUCUGGAGUGAAAGGCGGGGGCCCAACCCCCGGACUGCUCUGGAAACUGUAUGGCUGGAGUGCAGGAGAGGUAAGCGGAAUUCCUAGUGUAGCGGUGAAAUGCGUAGAUAUUAGGAGGAACCCCGAUGGCGAAGGCAGCUUGCUGCAGCGGAACUGACGCUGAUGCUCGAAAGCGCGGGUAUCGAACAGGAUUAGAUACCCUUGUAGUC